CCGCCCCGCGCCGCCCGGUCCCCAGCGAAGCCCGGGCCAGCCCCAGCGCCCAGCUGGAUCCCGGAAUAACCGGUGAAGACGGCUCCCCGGAAUCCCCGCCCCUAGCGGGCUCUCCCGGACCCCCGGCCCGCGCUAGUCUUUGCCAGGAUCCCGCGCAAAGGAUCAAGUCCCAGCUUCCCUUUCCCCACCGAGAGUCUCCAGCGCCAACCGCGGGCCGUCGGGCGGGUCCCUGACCCGCAGUUACUCAGCUACCUCUCUGGUGGAGGAGGUGUCAGCGACUUGAGAAUGAGUGCGCCAAAGAAGACAGAGCCACGCCUGAGCCUCCUUCAACAAAGCCUGCACUUCCUGUUCUCUUCUCAAGCGUGCUGUCAGCAGAUCUUGACUGAAACCUCUGUGCCCUACCCUGUCCUUGGCACCAGACGCAGGGGAAAGGAUCAGGCCCAGUCCCUCCUCUGACUGACAGUGCUAAACCAGCUACCUGUUCUGAGCAAGGCCCCUGAAGACUGGGAACACGAAUUUGCCCAACAGCUGCCUGGCUUAAGGGUUAGGCCGUUGAUAUAAAAAUACAUGGCUAAUGUAACCUACUACCACUCUCCCGGCUCUGUUAAGCUCCUGUCACACUAGCCUUCGUUAAGUUCCUAACCACGUCAAACUCAGCCACCUCACAGCCUUUGUAUCUGCUGUUGCUUCUGCAUGAAACACUCUCGCCUGCUCCCAGUUCCUCAUGUAGCUGGUCUCUUACUCUUCCAGAUACAGCUCAAUGUGUCUCCUUAGAAACUUUUACUCUGCCCACCCCUUCAAAAUCAGUCUGUGGCCAAAAUUGGACCAUUACAUCUGUCUGCCCCUCCCCCAACAGAUAGUGAUUGCCACUUUUCAGGUCAGAGACUGUGCCUUAUUCAUCUCUGUGACACUAGGACCCAGCCAUAGACCCUGCACAUAGUAAGUUCUCUGUAAAAGCUGGAUUACAUGAGUUAAUUCACUUGAACACUCAGAUACUAAAAACUAAUACCGGAAUAUUGGAAAAUUGACCAGAACAGUUGAAACCCUACCUAGGUUCUCCUAGACCUAUUCUCUGAGCCAGGGGUCUUAAAUUCAAAUGGCAAAAUGGGCAGGUAGGUAAUUCAAUUAAGAAAAGUAGGUAGGAGUAAUACGGAGUGGUGGGGACUGUGGAGAGCAGGCAGAAAGAUGGGCCUAGUAUUGCUGGAGUGUCAUUAAGAGAAGAUGGGGCUGGGUGCAGUGACUCAUAUCUCUAAUCCCAGCACUCUGGGAGGCCAAAGUGGGAGGAUUACUUGAGCCCAUGAGUUCAAGACCAGCCUGGGAAACACAGUGGGACCCCCAUCUCUACAAAAAAAAUUUUUUUAAUUAGCCAUGAGUGGUAUCUGGCUUCUGUGGUCCCAGCUACUCAGCAGGCUGAGGGGGGAUGAUCGCUUAAAUCCAGGAGCUCAAGGCUGCAGUGAGCCAUGAUCACACCAUUGCACUCCAGCCUGGGCAACAGAGCAAGACCCUGUCUCAAUUAAAAAAAAAAAAAAAGAGAGAGAGAGAAGAUGGAAAUCUGGACUUUCAUAUGACAUAUCCUUUUUAAAAAAAUAUUAGCAAUUCGUUUAAAAGGAUAAAACCUUAUAUAGGCCACAGAAAACAUGUCUGCAGCCCAGAUUAAUCACUCAGACUGACAGUUGAUCAUUUCUACCUAAGCCAGCUCUCCUGCCUGUGCACUCAUUUGCCUAAGAGAACAUGAAAGAAAUGAGCA
rnacentral:lncRNA from 10 species